UGGGGAAUAUUGGACAAUGGGCGCAAGCCUGAUCCAGCAACGCCGCGUGGAGGACGAAGGUCUUCGGAUCGUAAACUCCUGUCAGACGGGACGAACGAAUGUCGGUAAAUAAUCGACGUUCUUGACGGUACCGUCAGAGGAAGCCCCGGCUAACUCAGUGCCAGCAGCCGCGGUAAUACGGAGGGGCGAGCGUUAUUCGGAAUUAUUGGGCGUAAAGGGCGCGUAGGCGGCCCUGUAAGCCAAAGGUGGAAUCCCUCGGCUCAACUGAGGAACUGCCUUUGGAACUGCAUGGCUUGAGGCCGGGAGGGGGUAGCGGAAUUCCCAGUGUAGCGGUGAAAUGCGUAGAUACUGGGAGGAACACCGGUGGCGAAGGCGGCUACCUGGACCGGUUCUGACGCUGAUGCGCGAAAGCGUGGGGAGCAAACAGGAUUAGAUACCCCAGUAGUCCCUGAGCGGGCUGGCAAGGCGC
rnacentral:rRNA from 1 species